UUAUGUUAUGCUAUCUAUUAGUAUUAUAUAGGAUCUCGAGAAACAAAAUCUUGUAUUUUAAGAUCCAAAUUAUUCUCCUGGCCCAUAAUGCAUAAACCGUAAUCGCACUAAGAUAGUACACUAACAUUUUUGCACCAAGGGGUCCAUUUUUUCUAUAUACAAAUGCUUCUUUAUUUCCUUAAUUCCACCAUAUAAUAAAAAGGUCCCUUCUUCAUCUUCUUUGUGAGCUUCUUGAUUUCUUGAUCAUGGAGAAGAGUAAAUCACUCCCUUAUCACUCUACUUCUUAUGCCGAAUCAAGAUUUGAUUUCGAGGAGAGGACUUAUAAUAAGUCUUACAGCUUCAAUGGCGGGUCGGGCGAAAAUCGAGAAGUUAAGAGGAGGAAAAGGGUGGCUGGUUAUAACAUGUACUCCAUGGAAGUAGGAUCGAUUCCUCGAAGCACGCAGUUCGAUACAUUUGGAAACGAUUCGUAUCUAGGCAACACAACGUUGUGGAUUUCCUUUGACGUUGGACUGCAAUGACAAUAGAACUCCACAAGAAGAGGAGCAGUCAGCAUUUUUUUGCUGAAUUUUGUUGGCAAAUUGCUCGUGUAGGAUUCAUUUGUGGAAUUCAAUUUGGAUUUCUUGCUUUAUCUUAUAGAAGAUCAAACCUUGUAUGAAAUACUCCCUAUGUGGCUAAUCAUGUAUUGUACUUCCUUUUUUUCCUUUCUUGAAAACUGAUAGCACCUAUUUUGCACA